AUGGCGAUGGACCGGAGCGUUCGUUUUCUCGUCGGACAGCUCAAAUGGAGGCAACAAAGGAACCGUUGCCAUGCGUUCUUCUCUACUGGUAGAAAACUCAGUUAUAUAGAAGCAGUGUGUUUGAGUUUAAGAGAAGUUGCCAUCCUAUUUGUUGUACUAUAUAUUUGUUCACAAAUAUCUGCAAGAAAGAAAAUAUCCGUCUUGGUUGACCGAACUAUAUCUACAUCCGAAAAUCCCUUUUGGAGGUCGAGCGCUAUGGAGACCGGUUUUCGAAAAGUUCAAAUUCAAAGAAUUUUGAAAAAAUGGAUAUACAUGAAGGCAUAA
rnacentral:rRNA from 1 species